rnacentral:rRNA from 1 species
UACGUAGGGUGCAAGCGUUUAAUCGGAAUUACUGGGCGUAAAGCGUGCGCAGGCGGUUUUGUAAGUCUGUCGUGAAAGCCCCGGGCUCAACCUGGGAAUUGCGAUGGAGACUGCAAGGCUUGAAUCUGGCAGAGGGGGGGUAGAAUUCCACGUGUAGCAGUGAAAUGCGUAGAGAUGUGGAGGAACACCGAUGGCGAAGGCAGCCCCCUGGGUCAAGAUUGACGCUCAUGCACGAAAGCGUGGGGAGCAAACAGG